CACCACUCAAGCCUCGCUUGGUAUUGGGUGUUUGUCUCCUGUAGACUCGCCUUAAAACAAUUGGCAGCCGGCGUAUUGAUUUCGGAGCGCAGUACAUCUCGCGCUUUGCACUCAUAACGACGACAUCCAAAAGUACAUUUUUACAC
rnacentral:misc_RNA from 1 species